rnacentral:ncRNA from 1 species
GUUGUGAGGCCGAAUCUGAAGGAAGCCGUAAGCAAAAGUCUGGCUCCACGCACAGAACCUUUAGCUCAUCGACUGAAGGGAGAUAAACUUGAUACAAGGCUCAAAGUCAGGGGUAAGGUUGCUAAACAAACUAAAGCCCGAUAGCUAUCCGGACUGAUGCGAGUAAAUCAAGGGAGUAU